GUCUCUGUUUGCCAAUCGACUGUCAUGACCAAUUCCAAAAUAUUUGGGGAAUAUCACCACUCUCAUAAACCUAAGCAUUGAGAGCAAUCAGUUCAAUGGAACUAUUUCUCCUGAGCUUGGGAACUUGGUCAACUUAAGCGAACGAACUUUAAAUGACAACAAACUUACAUGAAAGGUGCCUUUGGAGUUGAAAAAUCUGGCCAAUCUAAGGGUACUGUAAGUAGUUUAUUUGAUUGAAGAAUUGAGAUUUAAGUAUAGAGCUUUUUGUUCAUCUCUUUCUCUCUCAAUCAUUUGUUUUUUUGUGUACUUGUUAGUCGAUU